GAGUUUGAUCCUGGCUCAGGAUGAACGCUAGCGGCGGGCCUAAUACAUGCAAGUCGAGGGGCAGCCGGGGGUAGCAAUACUUGCCGGCGACCGGCGCACGGGUGCGUAACGCGUAUGCAACCUGCCCUUUUCACCGGGGAUAGCCCUCCGAAAGGAGGAUUAAUACCCGAUGGUACCAUGGGAUGACAUCGUUUUAUGGUUAAAGAUUUAUCGGAAAAGGAUGGGCAUGCGUCUGAUUAGCUAGUUGGCGGGGUAACGGCCCACCAAGGCGACGAUCAGUAGGGGUUCUGAGAGGAUGAUCCCCCACACCGGUACUGAGACACGGACCGGACUCCUACGGGAGGCAGCAGUAAGGAAUAUUGGUCAAUGGGCGAGAGCCUGAACCAGCCACGCCGCGUGCAGGAAGAAGGCCCUAUGGGUUGUAAACUGCUUUUGUACGGGAAGAAUGUCCCCCUUGCGAGGGGGAGUGACGGUACCGUAAGAAUAAGCAUCGGCUAACUCCGUG
rnacentral:rRNA from 1 species